UACGUAGGGGCAAGCGUUGUCCGGAAUCAUUGGGCUUAAAGCGCGUGUAGGCGGAUGGGAACGUCGGAGUUGGAAAGCCCCCGGCUCAACCGGGGAAUUGGCCCCGAAACGACCCGUCUCGAGGGACAUAGGGGGACCUGGAACUUCCGGUGGAGCGGUGAAAUGCGGUUGAGAGUCGGAAGGAAACGCCCGUGGCGAAAGCGAGGUCCUGGA
rnacentral:rRNA from 1 species